GCCCGGCUGGCUGCAUCAGAAGAGCACGAGACUCUAGAUCUCAGGGCUGUGAGUUCAAGCCCCAUGCUGGGUA
rnacentral:tRNA from 1 species